CAUCAAGUCUUACAUAAGAAAGAAUUCGACUCAGGAGCAUAAGACAGAGGAACGACCAAGGCAAGUUUCAGAGCAGGAGUGGAAGUUUAUUAAAAAGCUUUAGAGCAGUAAGGACAAAAAGGAAAGAGAAGGAAAGACUUGGAAGAGGGCCAAGUGGGCGACUUGAGAAACCAACUGAACCUCAGCCUGAUCUUGAUCUUACAAUCUGCCAAGUCCUUUUACUUUGCACCUGGAUCCAACUUUUCUCUGU
rnacentral:lncRNA from 1 species